AAACCUACAAAUGUAAAGAAUGUGACAAAGCCUAUAACUUAUCCUCAACCCUUACUAAACAUAGGAGAAUUCAUACCGGAGAGAAACCCUUCACAUGUGAAGAAUGUGUCAAAGCCUUCAAUUGGUCUUCAUCCUUACUAACAUAAGAUAAUUCAUACUGGAAAAUUCUACAAAUUAUGAACAAUGUGGCAUCGGCCCUCAGCCCUUACUGUACACACAAGCGAAUUCACACUGAGUCAAGGAAACUUAUUUUGAACUAUUUAUAACCGUUAAUAAUUGAGUAAGGUAUACUCCUAUGAAGAAAAUUUGGGCACAUUUAUCUUUUUCUCUCUGCCUGGCUUCUCUAGAACUUCAAAACUAGUUGUGAGUAUGCUUAACUUAUGACAAUAUAGUUGUUUGCAUCAGUGCAAUAAGAAUUCAUUUUUCUUUUUCAACAGGAUACAACUGGAGAAACUGGUUUUUUCACCAAGGCUUUGACUGGAAGGGUACAUUUCCCUUUAAGGAGUUAAGCUUGACUUGUAGAGACGAUAAAAGCCUCUUGGAAAAAUGGGCCUUAUACUUUGUUACACAGUCCCCAUACAAGGUUCCUAACCUGCAGUGAGUAAAGAAUGUCACUUUCCAACAGGCCUAGGAACCACAUGCUCUUGGGACCUGAAGAAGAGAGGAGUUUACCCAAGUCACAGGUAUUUGAGAAUAUAAACCCAUGGUUGGGCUUAGCUUUGGAAA